AAAAAAGUUUGUACUUUUUUUGGAAACAUGUCGAGUAUAAGGACAUAAACGAAACGGCCCACAUCGCCAAACACUGCCACUAACCCAUCUAAAAUUACCAUUUGCCCACCACCCACAUCACCAAACACUGCCACUAACCCAUCUAAAAUUACCAUUUGCCCACCACCCACAUCACCAAACACUGCCACUAACCCAUCUAAAAUUUCUGCCCACCACCCACAUCGCCAAACACUGCCACCAACCCAUCUAAAAUUAUCUGCCCACUACUAUAGUAUACAAACCUAUUUUUUUCUAAGAGACAAGGUCUCACUGUGUUGCCCAGGCUGGAGUGCAGUGGCAUGAUCAUAGCUCACUUCAGCCUCCCAGGUGAAUCGACACCAUCACCUUCUUGAACUUCAUCACAUACAAAUGGGCUUUCAUGAGAUGGUCAAGUAGUAUGUCCUGCCAAUCUUCACUGGGUGUGUAGUUAGGGCCCAGCCACUCCCCUACUCCACCAGCAGGAUCUGUCACUGAGCCCCCACAAGGAGCAGAGCAGGGCAGGAGAGCCUGGGUGACUCCCACCUAGAGCCAGGAGGUUUUUGAGGAUGAGGUAUGUGGACACGUGGGCAUGGUUUGGGAUGGCCUCACUUGGAACGUUUUGGUCUUAGGAAUGAAAUGCUCAGCCCCCAGCACUGACUUGUGGCAGGUGCCCCAGACCGGUCAGCUGGCUGUCACCAUAGUCACACCACCAGCACGCGCCACCCGAGUAGCUUGGGGAAAGUAAUACCAGAGUGUCUAAAGGCGGAUCUGCACCGCAGGCUUCUGUGUCUCCCACAGCCAUUGGCAUAAGGAAACACGGACACGGACUACUGGCCCUCAGUGUGCCGUGUGAGCAUCCACGCUCCCUCCCACGAACACAUGGGGUUCUUGACACAAACUCGCAGGAACGAGAAGGUAACAUGGGUCGGGCCCACCCACUGUGUCUCACCACAGAUCAGCCUUCUUCCCAACAUCAGUGCAGUCUACAGCGUGUCUACUGAUUAUAGCUAAGCACUUCUUCACUAACCAGUUAGAAAAGAAACCCCAAAAGGCUUUCCAUGACAGCCUCGAGAAAUUCCGGAUUAUUUAGCAUGUAGAUCUCACCUGGUAUGUGUUUUAUUUCAUGCCC
rnacentral:lncRNA from 10 species